rnacentral:SRP_RNA from 1 species
GUAGGCGAGUCGGCACGCUAGCCCUGUGCCAUUCACAAAUGGGCUUUAUGGUGGACUUAAAGGAGUGCGUGACGUAGACGCUAUACAGUCUUUCGCUGGACGUUGAGGUGUUGUCCUGUUCGACCGUACUCCUGUAAAACGGGUCAGACCUUGAUCGGAGCAGCCCUAAGCAGAAGUUUCGGUGCUUGCAGGGGUGCGACACUGAGAAAGGCAGAAAGAGUGCUGUAUUGCCAAAGCCGAGCAAUCUCCCCGCCUAC